AUUAAUUGUUCUACAAAUAUUGGAGAGCCAAUGAUUGUACUUGAGGUAUAAAUUUAUCAAAAUCAACAUUUCACUGAUAUAAAUGUAGCACAAGAUUUUAAAUAAAUAAAAAGUCACUACAUACACUAUCUAAAUUACAUUAUGAACUAGAUAUGACAAGUACCAAAAUUACACAUUAAUUCAAAAUGCUUUGUAAACAGCAAAAACAUGUGUUAAUCUUGGGGUGUUUUUCAUGAGGAGUAAUUCACCUUAUAAAAUUGAGAAUGAAAAUGGGGAAUAUGUCAAAGAGACAACCACCCGAUCAAAGAGCAGAAAACAGCCUAAGGCCACCAAUGGGUCUUCAAUACAGCGAAAAAAUCCUGCACCCUGAGGCGUGCUUCAGCUGGCCCCUAAACAAAAAUAUAUACUAGUUCAAUGAUAAUGGACGUCAACAAUAUAGUAUUGUUCAAAAAAAAGAUGUCAAAUAUACCGUUUUUUUUUUUUAAACAAGCAGAAGAUUCUGAACAUUUUCCUAUUACGUGGGAUUCUAAAUCAGAAUCUGGAGGAUAAUAAACAAACAAGGUAAAUGUUGAACAUGAUUAGUGAACAGACGUGAGAAGCUUUUGUUGAAAAAUU
rnacentral:lncRNA from 1 species